CUACUGGGAGUAUUGCCUGAUGGUCACUUGCUCUUGCUGUCCUCUUGCCAAGGAUGUUUCCCAGAUCAAUGAGAAUCCCACUCAAGACAGCAUGCUGCAUUUGCUUCUCAUUUCUCCUGGUCAAAUCUGUUGCCUUUUGAUAACUCUCCUCUGCAUUUUGCCUAAGACAACAAGCAUCACAAUGGGGUCUGAUGAAGUAUCCACGUUCAAGAUAAAUCACUAUGGCUGACCGCACCAUGUACUUCAGUCACAGAUCCCAAGGGCCCCUGAUCUAGGAUUGACCUGAAUGCCCCCGCCCUGAGGACCAGCUUUCAUGGUACCAGAGGCUCCAUGCAAGCUUCCAAAGGAGAGAGGCAACCUACAGUCCUACCCAGCUAUGAUGUCUAUGAACCACACCAACAGCCAGCAUGGCAUGAUAACCCUAUGGGUACAACAGUGACAUGCAUACCUUGGUGGUAACCAACAGCUCUCUAACUGGACUUAGGAUCCCCUUAGCAAGAGGCAAGGCAUGUCUGGUACUGGAAACUUAGCUAACUACUCAGUGCUAUUCAAGUCGUGGUUAUUGAAGGAGAAUCUACACCACUACUGUAAUUAUCCAGCACAAUCCCUGUGGUAGUAUGAAUGAAAAUGGCCCCCAUAGGCCCAUAUGGAGUGGCAUUAUUUGAAAGGAUUAGGAGAUGCAGCCUUGUUGGACCUUAUAAUCCAAAUGAAGAACUCUUGCCCUUUCUCCAGUGCCAUGUCUGCCUGCAGUACUACCAUGAUGAUAAUGGACUAAACCUCUGAAACUAUACAGGCAGACAUCUAAAGGACAUUGGCAAGCCAUGGAAUAUCAAGCUGUAGUAAGACCAGGCAUACCCUCCUCCACCAAAGUUGUUUGAGGUAGGAAAAUG